rnacentral:rRNA from 1 species
CUACCCCGAACUCUGGGAUAACUCUCCGAAAGGAGGGCUAAGACUGGAUAGGGUCCCUGAGGUGUAGGCUGCAGGGGGAAAACGGGCCUCUGUUUCAUGCUCGUGGUUUGGGAUGAGCUUGCGGCCCAUUAGCUAGUUGGUAGGGUAAUGGCCUACCAAGGCAACGAUGGGUAGCUGGUCUGAGAGGAUGAUCAGCCACACUGGCACUGAGACACGGGCCAG